GAUGAACGCUAGCGGCAGGCCUAAUACAUGCCAGUCGAGGGGUAUGGGUUGCUUGCCACCCAGAGACCGGCGCACGGGUGCGUAACGCGUAUGCAAUCUACCUUAAUCAGGGGGAUAGCCCGGAGAAAUCCGGAUUAACACCGCAUAACAUUGAGUUGUGGCAUCACAGUUCAAUCAAAUAUUUAUAGGAUUAAGAUGAGCAUGCGUGACAUUAGUUAGUUGGUGAGGUAACGGCUCACCAAGACCACGAUGUCUAGGGGAUCUGAGAGGAUGACCCCCCACACUGGUACUGAGACACGGACCAGACUCCUACGGGAGGCAGCAGUAAGGAAUAUUGGUCAAUGGGCGCAAGCCUGAACCAGCCAUGCCGCGUGCAGGAAGACGGCCCUAUGGGUUGUAAACUGCUUUUGUACCGGAAUAAACCUUCUCUUGCGAGAGAAGCUGAACGUACGGUAAGAAUAAGGAUCGGCUAACUCCGUG
rnacentral:rRNA from 1 species